UCUGAUUUAGAACCCUUCUUAAGAACAAGUAUCCGGGGGUUUUGAAAAGAACGACUGAGUGACCUUUGCAUGACAAGGAAUCGGCGCCUAACACAUUUGGGCGAACCCUGCAAUACAAAAUGGAUAUCGGAAGCAAAAGACUUACAAAAGCAGCUAUGAAGCUAAGAAACUUCAAACUGACCCAUUCUCCGAUACUACAGUAAAAAUUUGUACUAUAAUGGACAUAGUUCCAUCAUCAGCUCCAACAGUGACAUACUGUCAAACAAAUGGAGGCACAAUUUUUGUUUUAGGCAUCAAUUGGUAUCAGAACCACUGAAAUUCAAUUCAACCUAACACGAAGUCACAAACACCUGAAAAUGAACAACCAUCUCAUAAGUCACUCUUUGAAUUGGAUUUAAAAUGAAUAUGUACUAUAAAAAUAAUUUGAAAAAUUGGGAAUAAGACAAACAAAUGAAAGUGACUAAAAAGAGAAGAUGAUGUAAUCAAAGAAAUAAAUGAAAUGACUUCACAUAUUUUCUGUUUAGUGCCCAGCAAGAGGACUGCAACUUAUAAUUCCUCCUGUUUUCUUCUGAUUAACUCUGCCACUUUUCUCCAGUACUGGCUCUUCUCUAUAGCUGCCAUUUCCUUCUAUUACCUAAAUGUUUCCAAAGCAACUAUUAUAUACCUUAUACAUAAAAUAGUACAGCAGGUUUCACUCUGCUAAUACCAGUCAUAAACAAGAAGGGUCAUUCAAUUUCAAAGUAAAUUUAACUAAUGAUAUAAUGAUUAAGGGAUUUAUAUGCCAAUGUUAUAGUGCUACGUUUGUGCAUUGUCAUCAUUGGGCAAACCUUUGUCAACCUUUAGAAGAAAGAGUUCCAACCAACAAAUUAAAAUUUAUAAGACAAUAAAUAGAGUUACUUUCAAACUAAUAAUUCUUAUAAUCAACCCAUAAAUCACAGAAGAACUACAUUGCUUCUUAGCCUAGCAAGAAACAAAUAAGCAAAAAAAAUCACAGAAACAGGCCCAAACAACUCAAGUGCUAAACAACCCCUCUAAAAACCAGAAGACCCCUGCCUAAACCCAGCCAGAGUGCUGUAGCAGAACAAAAAAUAGAAGAAAAUGCCGCAGCAAAAAAACAAUACCCAACAUGACAGAAUCAAUGUACACAUGCCUCUAUACAUGUUCAAUCAAUUAGCUUGGAUUAGUCACAGAGCAACCAUCUCUAAAGUCUAGCUAUAUAACAAGUCACAUGACAAAAUCAAUGUACAUGUUCAAUCAAUAGUUUUCAUAUCUAAAGUCUUGUUACUUUGUUUUCAUAUCUAAAGUGUUUUGUUCAAUCAAUAGUUAUAAAGAACAAAAUAUAAUAGAACCUGCUAUAGUAACCAUUGGAAUCUUUUCUUAAUAAAAAACACCUUCCUCUUCAAAUUGAACAUAUAUGGUGAUAUGUUUAUAUCAAUGAGGUAUUCCACAUAUAUGAGAGCAAUAAUUGUUCAAUUUGGAGAUUUGGCUCUGGAAAUCCAACACUUAUUAAAUUUCUAACUACAUUGAAGAAAAAGAAACAUAACAAGAAAACACAAAGUGGCUUAUGUAUGUGUGUGAAAAUUCCUUUGGAUUAUGAAAAGGAAAACCAAUGCUAUAUAUAUUUGUCUAUUCUUCUUUAUCAAUCAAACAUCAAAACUGCAGUUAAUUUAAGCCCUUCUUAACAAAUAAGUAGGACUAUGGAAUAAUAGGCAUAAAUGAGCAAGUCAUAAGUUCUUAAAAUAAGAAUAAAUAAGAGAAAAAUAGCCCUAAAGAGAAAAAUAGCAAGAACAUGAGGAAUACAUUAGAGAAGAAUCAAACCUGGUAGAAGAGAAGAAUCAAAUUUGACCAAAGAGAAGUAACGGCAAACAUUUAGAUGAGAGGAAGAACACAAUUGAUGUUUGCUCCAAUACAUCUAACACAUAGACAAAUGUGUACUCUAGUUGGAUUAAUUGGUUAACCAUGAGAACAUUAUAGAUGCAAUCAAGGGACUAGAGUCAUAUCAUGCAAUGAUCAACACAAACUCAUACUAUAGCACAUCAGCAGACUAUAGUUUGUCUGAGUAUUUAUGUCAAACACUUGGUGAGCAACAAAUAAAUGAUAAAAGUAUUGAGCAAUGAUAACAAUUUGUGGUCACAAACUAGAAACCCAGAAAAAACACAAAGCAGUAAGUACCAAACACAUAAUAGAGAAUAAGAAAACGCAUCAACUAUGGAUGAAACAGUCUUAAAAAAAAACUAUGGAUGUAACAAAAAGGAACUGCUAAAGAAAGGGAUCAAACAAAAAUAUAUAGACCUUGGUAACUACGACGACAUAUUAGAGAUUGAGCAACCAUGAUGACUACGGAUGAGCGCCAUGGAUUGUAGAUAAGUCAUUGCGGCUGGGUUCGAUGGAUUCUAGGGUAUUUGCGCUCGAUUGAUUUGUGGGUGAGUCAGAGUGAGGAGACUAUGCUUAUAAAAAAAAAAAGAGUGAGGAGACUAUGGG
rnacentral:lncRNA from 1 species